rnacentral:rRNA from 1 species
GACGAACGCUGGCGGCGUGCCUAAUACAUGCAAGUUGAGCGAUGAAGCUUGGUGCUUGCACCAAUUUGAAGAGCAGCGAACGGGUGAGUAACGCGUGGGGAAUCUGCCUUUGAGCGGGGGACAACAUUUGGAAACGAAUGCUAAUACCGCAUAACAACUUUAAACAUAAGUUUUAAGUUUGAAAGAUGCAAUUGCAUCACUCAAAGAUGAUCCCGCGUUGUAUUAGCUAGUUGGUGAGGUAAAGGCUCACCAAGGCGAUGAUACAUAGCCGACCUGAGAGGGUGAUCGGCCACAUUGGGACUGAGACACGGCCCAAACUCCUACGGGAGGCAGCAGUAGGGAAUCUUCGGCAAGGGACGAAAGUCUGACCGAGCAACGCCGCGGGAGGGAAGAAGGUUUUCGGAUCGUAAAACUCUGUUGGUAGAGAAGAACGUUGGUGAGAGUGGAAAGCUCAUCAAGUGACGGUAACUACCCAGAAAGGGACGGCUAACUACGUG